ACGCAAGAACCGACCGAUAGGUCACAGGAGUGUAUUCGAUAUAGUCCAGAACUACCGUCAGCACCAGCCGACAAUCCUACCCCUCAGGGUACACCGACCUCAAAGGUCAUCGAACAACAGAAGUCGAGAAACAGACCAACCCAAUACAUAAUGCAACGACCGACCAACCAGGUCAACAGAUAUAAGAUAAAAGCACCGAUCAACUAGGUCACCGAAACGAAGUACGAGAACCGACCAAUUAGGUCACCGGAACAAAGUACGAGAACCGACCAAUCAGGUCACCGAUAUCACAUAUGGAUAAACUACUCUACUCCUACACAUGAUACUAAGCAUAGAACAUAUGAGUAGAGCAUAAUAGAAACAACGGGGAUGCAAGCUCAAUAUAUAAUACGAAAAUAGCACAGAAGAACAGGGAUAGAAGAAUAUCACCGAGCGUGCACCACUGUACCGACUUCGGAUCGAAGUACCCACCUGUCACUGUCGCGUCGGAACACUGGGUACGCACAAGUCAACCGGACCUACGAAGAUCCCACGGGUCAGUAACCAACCCACUCACCUGAAGUACACAGUCUCACAAACCCCACACAGAACCUCGUAUCGGUUUUCCAAAACCGAUCAUCGUAACUCACCGGAAGUCCCGAAAACCACACCGGGACGCCGUCGGGACCCACUAAGUGUCCCGAACUCACCGACUCGUGCCACGAGUCACCCGCUGCCCCAAAACACUCCGAUUUGGAUGCCUUGGCAGCGGACACGAGGUGACACAACCAUACGAUCAUCGCCGGAUAAUCGUACGAAUCCGGGUUCCCGGAAGUGUCUAUUUCGACACCGGAACCUACCGUCGCUCACCCAUCAUUUCAGAACCCUCAAAAUGAUGCGAGUGACCAGCCGACAAGGCUCAGCGACUGCACAAUUCCUCACGAAACACUGUCGGAAGGAAAUCGAACCGAUCCCGCGUUCCGUCGGCGGAUUUUGCCGAGAAACGCGCCGAAAGUCUCAAUCUGACACUUGCAAAGGCUUGGGGCCUUGGACGAUCAGUCCAGAGGUUAUCCUCAGCCCUAACUCGCUGCCAGCAGUAGCUACGACGAAGCAAACGGCAUAAAAGCCCCUAUCGACACAUGAAAUCACAUUAUUUUAUGCGAUUUCAUGGCUUUUAUGGAUCGUACACGCAAAGCAGAGGUCAAACAGCCAAGACAAGACUCCCGCUGACUGGUCUCGGCGUGCCGGAGGCCGUGCUCACCUUUCGGAGCACUGCCGGCCACUGUGGCACGCGCACGGGCGACGCAAAAUUAGUGAAACAGCGCGCACAGUAGGAAAAGCAUGCUUAUCUCGCUAACCAGGGGCUCUCAGACUCCAAUGAAGGUGGCCACGAUGAUCAGCACUGAACCAGGAUCAUCGUGCUCACCUUCAGAAGACUCGGGGUGGCGUCGGUUCACCGGAACAGUGACCAGAAGCCCAAGACAAGGUGCAGAAAGCUAACUAAGCUUACCGGAGCUAGGCAGGGCACGGGGUGGCCGGCGGCGGCCGGACGGCGGGCAGGCCGGCCAGGGGAAGGUGCUCCAGGUCAGAGGAGGCCGGGGCUCGCGUCAGCAGGCGACGGGAGGCGGCGGCGACGACGGCCAACGAUGCCCUAGCCACCAAACCCGUGGGGAGCAUGGGCUCAUUCCGGCGGACAGCGAGCUCCGGCGGCAGCGUCUCCGGCGGUUGACGGGCACGGCCGGCCAGGCGGAGUUGGUGCUCACGCCGGCCGGCGGCGAGAGGCGGCCGCGGCGGCGCUGGAGCAUCCUGAGCUCUCACGGGCUCGGCUCGGGCUCACAGGGUGGCGACGGCCACGGCGGCGUCCGGGGAAGGCUGCGUUGCCGAGCUAUGGCGGCGGUGGUGCGAGGAGAGGGAGAUCAAACCAUCUCGGCCGGAUCUGCCCGAGCUUGGCUGCAGGAUUGCCAAGGCGGCGGCGGCGGCGCUCAGGGUGGCGGCGGCCGACAGAGAUGGUCGCCGGGGUCGGGCCUGCUGUCAGAGGUGAAACCCGAGGGUGUGGGUUCACCCUGGUAGCAGCACAAGUGGGGGUGAAGGAUGGUGAAGCAAGGAGCAAUGGAGGAGGUGGAGGAGCAGCCAGCUCCGGCGGCCGGCGGCGUGCUCAGGUGGCCGGAGCGCGCGCACGGGCAGGGCGCGGAUGCAGAGGUGUCGGCUAGGGCACAGAUGGGGGACAGGGUCGGCCAGAUCUAGGGUUUCGUGCAUAGAAACCCUAGAUGCACAUUGUACACAAAGUGCAAUUUUGCACAAAAGUCUACCUAAGCUUGGUAUUUCUUACCCAGUCCCUCACAGCACAAGUAAAACGCGCGAAUACCCCUCUACGUGCGAUUUCACGCGAAACGGUACAUAAAAUGUCGCGACUUUUGCGAAAAUACCGUUUUGCCAACACCGACCUCUCCUCGAUCAACGCGCGAUCUCCGUAGAUCCGUCCGUCAGAUUUGCGAAUGGAUUGCACCAGUGCGAUCAGCACCUCGGAGACAACAGAGCUACGAUUUCGAUUCGUCUCGAUCGACCACGGAUUCACGACAAAAUCCAACCUUUCGUUCCAAUCGAAAGAAACACACAAAAUACAUAUAAAACAUGUAUUUUUGGAUUUUCUCGAAAUCCGUGCGUCAAACUCAAAAUCCGUCAGCGCC
rnacentral:lncRNA from 1 species